UUUUUCUUUUCUUUUUCUUUUUUUUUUUUUGAGAUGGAAUCUCACUCUGUCGCCCAGGCUGGAGUGCAGUGACAUGAUCUCGGCUCACUGCAAGCUCUGCCUCCCGGGUUCAAGCGAUUCUCCUGCCUCAGCCUCCCAUAAUCCCAGUUGGGAUUACAGGUGUGCACCACCACGCCCAGCUAAUUUUUAUAUUUUUAGUAGAGAAGGGGUUUCACCAUGUUAGCCAGGAUGGUCUCGAUCCCUUGACCUCGUGAUCCGCCGGCCUCGGCCUCCCAAAGUGCUGGGAUUACAGGCGUGAGCCACUGCGCCCGGCCAGAGAAAGAUUUCUUAUGCUGCUUUUAAAACAAAAGUAGCCACAAGAGUUAACAUUUCUAGUUUUCACUCUCAAAAAUAAAGUCCUUGUGGAUUUUAUGAUCCGAUUUCAGCAAAUGUCACUGCAAAGUGGAGAUGCUAUCAUCCCUUAGCAGUGUGCCUCCACCCUGGGCCGCUGGGGCCAGGUGCUGGCUGCUCUGCAAGGAAGGGUCCCUGCAAGCAGGACAGUGGCCUUCCAGGGCUGAGGCUGGAGGAAGGAGCUUUGCCUCAGACGGGCACCCUUUUUUUAAGCUCUGAUUCUGCCCCAUGCCGUGUGCCUCUGAGGGUCGCCUUCCCUUCUGAAGCUCAGGCACAUCCUCUCCUCUGUCACCAGUUCUCUGGUGCCAGUUCCCUCCUGCUUCCGUUUCCUGCCUUCCAGGCAGGGUGCCACCCUGCGUACCCUUACGAUUCUCUCUCUGCUUGUGCAACGGUCACCAUCUGCCCACGACCCUUCGGCCAGGUCCUGCGGCGCUCAGAGCUGGCCAGAGACUCGUUCCUUCCACAGGGUCUGUCCAGAGACUCCUAAAGGUCGGGCAGUGGUGUGAGUGGCUCUCGGCCGGUCAGCAGUACCUGCAGGCGGAGGGGCUGCCCCAGGGCUCUCGGCGAGACUGAGAAGGUUCAUGAGCUCCGUGUUCCUGUCUGAGACGACCACAACCAGGGCAGGCCUCAUGUGUGACCCAACUUUCAUAAAACCACACACGCAUAGUCACAAGCAGCUCCCUGCUUUAUGCACUCUAAAGUGAUUCAGCGUUCCACAUGAAAACGCAGCCACGAAGGCACCACGUGAUUGAUAAUGCUCUCCGUGGGACUUAUGGGUCCAUAAACCAAAGAAUGGCUAUCAUCACCCACACGUCCAUCAUUUCUUUAUCCCUUACAUCAAACAUGAUAUGGUCAUAGUCACAAUUCAAUAACAAACCAUGGAGGGCUCCGUGAAAGUUACCAGUGAGAGCUGCAUGUGCUCUCCCAGCUACUCUUCUCUGCUAGAGCCUGCGCCCCACCG
rnacentral:lncRNA from 1 species